rnacentral:lncRNA from 1 species
GGAGUCUGGAGGCAACCAGGCCUCGUUGUUACGCCGUGGUGAUCACACAUCUUCAGUUCGGUUGACCACAAUACGAUCUUUACGGUCGUCGGCGAAAUAUUCGAACGGACAGAACGUAAGUCUUUUAUAACAAGCAAGGGAUGUGAACAAACUAAAUCGAGUUUACCGUGGACAUUACCUAGAAAUGGAAAGUGACAUUAAACACGGACAAGUGAGCUGUGUUGUUUGUAUGGACAGAAAAACUUCUGCGUACAGAGACCAUGUGGAUACAUAUGUGUAGAUAUAUUAAUGUGUUAGCUUUACCGACCUAUUGUAUAAAUGUAUAUAUGUUUAAGUACAAAAAGUAAUAAAUGUGUUUCUUUUUUAUUAAAAAAUGGAGAUUAGUAGUAUAUUAAAAUUUUUUUCUUU